rnacentral:tRNA from 1 species
UACAUCGUAGCUCAACGGUAGAGUGCCACGCUCAUAAUGUGGAAGUAGUAGGUUCGACUCCUGCCGAUGUAA